rnacentral:rRNA from 1 species
GAGGAAUAUUGGUCAAUGGGCGGAAGCCUGAACCAGCCAUGCCGCGUGCAGGACGACGGCCCUACGGGUUGUAAACUGCUUUUCCGGGGGAAGAAUAAGGCCCAUGCGUGGGCCGAUGCCGGUACCCCGGGAAUAAGGAUCGGCUAACUCCGUGCCAGCAGCCGCGGUAAUACGGAGGAUCCUAGCGUUAUCCGGAUUUACUGGGUUUAAAGGGUGCGUAGGCGGGCGUUUAAGUCCGCGGUGAAAGUCUGCGGCUCAACCGUAGGACUGCCGUGGAUACUGGGCGCCUUGAAUUCGGUCGAGGCGGGCGGAAUGCGUGGUGUAGCGGUGAAAUGCUUAGAUAUCACGCAGAACGCCGAUAGCGAAGGCAGCUCGCCGGGCCGAUAUUGACGCUGAGGCACGAAAGCGUGGGGAUCAAAC